rnacentral:tRNA from 1 species
GCCCUUGUGGUGGAAACGGUAGACACACUGGCUUUGGAAGCCAGCGCCGCUCAGGCAUUGUCAGUUCGAAUCCGACCAAGGGCU